GCUUUUGGCUUUUCCAUGGGUGCUGGGCUGAAAGCUUUCUAAUUGGUGUUGCAUUUCUUCCUCGCUACAGGUAAGCUGUCGGCCUAGGCAGCAAGUAGGACCAAAAAGACAAGAGGAAAAACUCUCAGGUCCCAGCAGACGGACUGGCCUAUGGAAAUGAGCCAAAGGGGCCAACUGCAGAGUUGCUGAGCUGUUAUCUGAGGGGGACUUACACAAGGCUGAGCUCCGCUUACCAGCUGAGGAUACAACACAGAGGUACAAGAGGGCUACAUGAGGAGAAUAAUGGGGUUGGGGUGGGGUGGGGG
rnacentral:lncRNA from 1 species